UGAGUAAACUGGAUGGUCGCGGGAGAAGAAUCUCUCCUGAGGAAAGUCCGAGCUCCACAGGGCAGGGUGCUGGGUAACACCCAGUGGGGGCGACCCCAAGGAAAGUGCCACAGAAACAGACCGCCCGGCCUUAUAGGGGCGCGGAGGAUAGUCCUGCCAAGGCAGGCGAAGGCUCCGGCCCUACAUUACGCCGGGCAAGGGUGGAAAGGUGAGGUAAGAGCUCACCAGCGGUUAGGUGACUAACCGGCUAGGUAAACCCCACCCGGAGCAAGACCGAAUAGGGGGACAAUGGAGUGGCCCGCUCCGUCCCCGGGUAAGGUCGCUGGAGGUACUAGGCAACUGGUACCCUAGAUAGAUGACCAUCCUCGACAGAACUCGGCUUACAGGUUUGCUCAAGGG
rfam:Thermanaeromonas toyohensis ToBE genome assembly, chromosome: I